UAAGUACUCCCUCCGUCUCAAAAUUCUUGUUGUAGAUUUAUUUAGAUAUGAAUGUAUCUUGUCAAUUUUUAAUAUUUAGGUACAUCCAUUUUUAAAAAAAGCUAAGACAAGAAUUUUGAAACGAAGGGAGUACUUC
rnacentral:pre_miRNA from 1 species